AGUGCCAAGUUAAAGGAAGCAUGUUGAUCUUCUUUUACUUCUAAAUCCGCCUUCCGACCAGGUUUCAUAGUAGUCUUUCGUGUUGUCUAAAAUAGACAGUGUAGCCCAUCUCUUCCCGCUUCAUAUGCUGCACCUUGACCUGACGUGUGGGCGUGGGGGCGUUAGGCUCACUAGUUUACGCUCACGGGGUAAGCUGACGACGGAGGUAUACAGGCUGAGAGACUAGAAGGGGUGAGGUAAAACGGGGGUUAUCGAUUAUAGGACAGGCUCCUCUAGGUGGAUUUGGGGUACCGUCAAGUCCCUUGGGUUUUAAGCU
rnacentral:rRNA from 1 species